ensembl:lncRNA
CAACAACAAAGCCCAUGCGUUUUGCAACAUAGGAGAGAAAUGGAACCACCUGCAAACUAGAGCUUAUUUUUCUUUUGUUUUUUUUUUUUGAGGAAGAUUAGCCCUGAGCUAACAUCUGCCGCCAAUCCUCCUCUUUUUGCUGAGGAAGACUGGCCCUGAGCUGACAUCCGUGCCCAUCUUCCUCUACUUUAUAUGUGGGACACCUACCACAGCAUGGCUUGCCACGCGAUGCCAUGUCCACACCCAGGAUCUGAACUAGCAAACCCCGGGCCACCGAAGCAGAACGUGUGAACUUAACCACUGCGCCACUGGGCCGGCCCCUAGAGCUUAUUGACUUGAUAGUGGAUGUAAACUUCAGGUCAGAUUUAGUAAGUUUAAUUACCUGGCUUCCAGGGGCAGAGCAUGGAGGAAGAGUUGAGAUGGAGAAAGAGGACCAAACGUGAAACAGGCCCUUCCCCACUGAUUACAGUCAUUUCUUUUCUUUUUUGCUGAGGAAGAUUCACCCUGAGCUAACAUCUGUGCCAGUCUUCUUUCUAUAUGCAAGCCGCCACCACAGCAGCUGACAAGUGGUGUGGGUCCACACCUGAGAACCAAACCUGGGCUGCCAAAGCAGAGCAGACCAAACCUAACCACUUAAGCUGGCCCUCAGUCAUUUCUUGAGGCCUUGCCAUGGGCACAAAAGCAAGUGAAGACUCCAUUAUUCCAACCUUGCCUGAACUAGGUCAGUCAGCACUUUAAAUGUGCAUAGAAAGAAAAGGCCUAAUAAUAAUAUGUAGUGUUUACAUAUUAUGAAUUUUGGGUCCAAAUCAAGAUUUUUUUCUCCUGUAUUAUAACUUUUCCAAGUUAGAUCAUAAUCUGCUUUGAUUGUUUAGUAACCUAUCUGCAAUCUUUUACUCUCCUAAAAUUCAAUAUACUAACCAAUAGUUAACUAUAUUUUGAUCUUUGUCAGAAAGUAUUGAGUCAUAAAUGACGCCUGCAAAGCACUGGUCAAACCUGUGAGAGGAAUGAUCUCGUCUCUUAAAGGCUCUAGUCUUUGGCAGGUGUAGAAUGGACUACAUUUACCACGCUGAAAAAGCGUUAAUCAGUUUGGGUCAACAAAUGUGUUUCUAUUUUAAGCAAGAUACUGAAUAUUUACUAUAAAAAUGAAGGAAUGUAAUAUUCAUUCGGGACUCGAGGUGCCUGUGGGCAUCAUCUAAAGUAAUGCCUGCAUCAGCUUUAGUGGUCAUUACACUCUCUCCAUCUAACAGGUGGGAAAACUGAGGUUCCAGGAUAGUAAAUUCGUUCAUGCCUGUACUGAAUCCUGUGUGCUUCAUAAUGAGUAAGAUGGCUCCUGCUCUCCGAGUAUUUACAGUAGAAAGUGUCAGAGGUGGGAUUCAAACCAGGUCCGUCUGUUACCAGAGCCUUUGGUCAUUCUCCACUCAAGGGACUGGUAUCUGAUGUAAGUAUAACCCAGCUCUUAAGACUCUCACAGCUCCUGCUAAAAUGGGCCCUUCCAAAGUCCCCCUUAGCUAUUUUGGGCAGUCUUGAGGGCAUCUGGCAUGCAGACCAGACCAAGCCUAGUCAACUCCCGAGCACAUGUUCCCUGCCAGGCACUCACCUUCCUGCUGACUCCUGCUGCCCUGCUGGGCUGUGGUCUCUACCAAGAGGGGAGCCCGCCUCUCCCCAUUCUGUUAGGGCACCAACACAGGGCUGCUCUGUCUCCCAGAAUUUUAGCGAACUCCUCUCAAGUUCCCAUUUGCAGCCUCCCUGCUCUCCACAGGAGUCCAGUGGUAGUCCACAGCAGGGCCAGGGAUGCUGCCCUUGGAAUCAUUCCCCUCUUACCUAAGGCUCCAUCAUCAUGCCAACUUGUCUUUUUUGGUGUCAUAAUGAUAAUGAUAGCUUAUUCUCACGUGGCACUUACUGUGAGCCAGAUACUGUUAUAAGCACUUUACAUGGAGAUUAUCAUGCCUGUGACAUAGAUAUUAUUAACAUCUUCAUUGUACUGAUGAGAAAACUAAGGGUCACAGGUGUAGAAAUUUGCCAAAGGUCACACAGCUAGUAAGUGGUGGGGCAGAAUUCAAAGGCCAACAUCAGCCUCCAGAGUCCGUGCUCUUGACCACAGAGCCCUCACUCUGUGCCAGAGGCUCAUGGCUCGCGCACUCAGGCCCAUCCCUGUCUGAACUCAGUGUGGGACAACCUGAGGCCAAGGCUGGGUACCCACCGCGAAAAGCAAGGUCCCUCCCUGAAGGAAGGUUUCUGGAGUGGCCAAAGGGGCCCGCCCUUAGGGCAGCCAGCCUGGUAGGCUCUGAGCUGCCUCUAUCUAGAUUCUGACACUUCCAGCCAAGGUCACCCACCUGACAGCCAUCAACUCAACAGCAGGGGACUCCAGGCUGACCUUUCCCUUGUCACCAGAUCCACACAACAGUGGUGGUGAGGCAGUCCAGACCACUGUCUUGUUCUCUCACUAGCCACGUCUGCCUUGGCACUUGGACAGAAUUCACAGCAAACAUUGCCAGGCAGAGUGUUGAAAAGUUCAAAUCAAUCAGAAGCCAGGUGUUGUCAAGUGGUGUGAGACAAAUGCCCACCCCCAGCCCCAGUGCCAGGACACAGCCUGAACGGGGAAAACAGAAAGCACUUCUCCAUUUAUUACUGUCUUACAAACAUUGUAAGAACGGCAAGAAUAAAGGUUAGAGGAGCCACCAGCAGCCGUUGCAUGUUCUCUUCGUCCUCAGUCAACAUCUCACCUGGCCGUGUUCUUUACAUGGCAGUAUGACUCAAACCUUCCGUCAAAAUUCAUUAGAAGCAUCAGCUCUGCCCUCCAGCUGUUCUGCUCCAGACUGUCAUCCCUGACAGCUGCUCUACAGGGUAUCACGGCACACACCGCAGUGCAUCCUGAUGUCUGGCUUCCGGGAACUCCAACGUGUCAACAGAAAAGAUGAUCUGAGAUGGGCCUAAUCAGAGAGAGGGGAUCCCAAUGCAGGGCCAUGGAUGCUGAGGUCUAUGUCUGCACAUUUCUCCUGAAAUAUACAAGCCUGCGUCCAGAGAAAAUAGCCCGGUGUUGGAAAAGUUGAAGUCACAAGUUCGAAGAGCUUAAACAAACAAAGAGAAGACAUGAAGUAUGUUUACAAUCCUUUAAUUAAAAACCUAUUUAUAUUUAGCAUAUUUCCAGCCCAAUUUCAUUAAUUGGCCCUUCUAGGAAUUUGGGAGAUUGGAGGACAGAAUAGUGUUUUGUUCGACAGUAAACAAGACCAGCACACGUCAAAAUCUUCUCUGUGCACCAUGUGAACGAAGUAGGAAAGGUGAGAAAGCAAUGGCCAAUGUCUGGAUGACAUAUAAAGACCAAGUCCAACAGUCGUCACACCUACAGACAUUCUACAAACAAACAUGUGAGAAUAUUUUUAACCUUGCCAGUAAUUUUUAAAAUUCUAAAUAAAACUAGUGCAUCAUUUUGUAUAAUAAAUUUAGACAAUAAAAAAUAAAUCCCCAAGUUUCAGAAACCAAGUAUCCAAUACCAGAAACUUCUGUGAUGAACUAUUAUUUCAUAUAUUUCUAGUGGAUAGAAUUUGGCACAAACCUUCCAUGACGGGUCAGAAACCCGAGAAUCAUACUCCAAGAUAGGGGCUUGAGUGCAGGAGGCUUAUAGCGGGGUGAUUUGGGGUCAGUACCUGAGAGGGAAGGAGGAAGCAGGAGUGGGCAGGAGGUGAGUUGGAGCUGCAAUACCAUUGCAACGAGGGUCUCAGGCAAUCCUACAGGGAGCUCUGGGGCUGAGGCUAUCCUUCAGAGUUGUCUCAAAUUGGGGUGUUAGGGACCAGCCCAGUGGCAUAGUGGUUAAGUUCACAUGCUCUGCUUCAGUGGCCCGGGGUUCACCAGUUCAAAUCCUGGGCAUGCACCUACACACAGCUCAUCAAGCCAUGAUAUUGUGGCAUCACACGUACAAAGUAGAGGAAGAUUGGUACAAAUGUUAGCUCAGCAACAAUCUUCCUCAAGCAAAAAGAGGAAGAUUGGCAACAGAUGUUAGCUCAGAGACAAUCUUCCUCACCAAAAAACAAAAUAAAAUAAAAUUGAGGUGUUAAUUGCAGGUUCCCCCUUUGCAUAAGUUUGGGCAAGACAGCUCUCUCCAGCUUAUGGAAAGUCCCAGAAAGGGAAGUCAGCUGACUGUUAUUUGCCACCAACACUCCCACCAGCUCGGGGGAUGAAUGAACUGACCUGGAGGGGGAUCUGGGUGGCACACCAUGGUAUCCUCUGUGGACAACUCCUUACUCCACUUGGAUCCACUUCCUUCGUAUUAUAAACUCUAGGAGAAACUCCUCCAGUAUUCUGUUUGGUUUCUUUUCCUGGGGGAAUCUUACAAGAAGGUUAGGGAGAAAAACUUCCAUCUCUGCCACUGCACUGACCUUGAGGCAGUAACAGACAGUCUUUCUGCCAGGCUUCCACCAUCUGUUCUAGAGUCUCUUCGCCCUCAACCAGCACCUCUGCUGGUCUAGCUGGCUGGGCUGCUGAGGUGAUACAGACAUUUUAUCUCUGGAUAAGAGUGGCCACAGGCCACUGGUCACCAUAAACUUCCCAGGUGGUGUUGCUGCCACAUUUACCAACAAAAUUGGGCAACGGUUACCAAGAGCAACCCAAGUGGAUCACCUGAGUGCCAAAUAUAUUCUUCCCUGCCCCUAUUGUGUAAGAGCAGCUCUACCUCUGCCUGAAGGUCAAGGUCAAUUGUUCAUGCCAGUAUGGUGACUACUUUCCUUGCCUAUUGGUCUCUUGGGACAAGAUCUUUGAAGUAACCGAGCAGGAGCUUAAUCCUAUUAAUUAUCUUAAUAGAACCUUGCUGUGUUCUUUGGUGGACCCAUUCACUCUCUAAGAAACAAGACUAUAAAAUGUCAGAAUCCAGAGUUAAAGAGAAGGGAAGCACAAAUUCUCUAAAGGAGUCACUGGGGCCGAUGAUAAGCAAGGUCGUUUUUACUUCUGCUUCUUGCUUCCUGGGUCUUGAAAACACAGCACCAUCUAAUAUUUAACAAUUUGAGGUAUAUACUACAUCUUAGAGGAUAGCGGUCCAUCUGCACAGGGCAUCCUCUCCAAGAUGGCACCUCAGCUGACCCUUCAACAGAUUGUUCCAGUGCUCUGUCAGUCCAGCAGCCCGUGGGUGGUGGAGUACAUGAUAGGACUGUGGAUACCAUGGUCAUGUGUCCACUGCUCACCUCCUUUGCUGUAUAAUGGGUGUCUUCGUCCAGUGAAAUUUUGUGUGGGAUCCCAUGCCUGUAGAUCAAACUCUUUCUAAGCCCUUGGUUAGCAGUGCUGGUUGAAGUCCUGCAGGCAGAAAAAGCAACCUGUAUUUGGAACAGAAGUCAAACCCAGUGUGGAAAGUCCAUCCACCUGGACCUAUCGCAGAUCGCUUUUCUGUUCUGAGACCCACACAAAGCUGGCAAUUUUAUGUGUCUCCCUGUAAAUGGGUUAAAACAAUAUUCCCAAGUGUGCAAUAAAUGCCCUGCCUCCAAAAAUCUAAGACACCUAUCAGGCAUUGUGUUCCUUCCUGGUGAUGGGAAGUGCGAGAUGCAAUAAUCUGCCCCAAACUUUGAAGAGAAUGUUCCAGCAUGCCUCUGACCCUUAGACUAAAAAUUGCAUUGAUGCUGUAGGCCUCUGAAUCUUCUUAAGGUUUUUCUCCCACCUUCUGGAACACGUUCUAUUAAUUUGUAUUUAUUUUCUGUUCUUGCAUAAAAAAUUACCACAAACGAGCUUAAAACAACACUCAUAUAUUACCUCAUGGUUCUAGAGGUCAGAAGACCUGUAGAAAGUCAAAGUCAAGACGUCAGCUACAUAGCAUCCCAGUUCACCACUGUUAAAAUAUUUAACCAUUCACCACCACCACAUGCCACAGGCUAUCUGUGUUCUACCUACCAUCAGUAGAUUUUACUUACUGCCCAAUUUUUUGCAUAAUACAUUGAACAUAAUGCACUAAGUAGCCACUAUUUGUAUUUACAACUUGCACUUUUCCCUCUAAAAUUAAGAUUUGUGGCCUGCUUCACUGCCAACUAUUCUGUGUGAAUAAAACAGUGAACGAUUUCACAUUUCAAAGGAAUCUCUUUUACUUGCUAUAAACAUGACUGGUCCUCCUUCGGAACUAAUCUCAGUGUACGCUUUCCUAUUUGCACCAUGACUUACAAAGUUAUUAUAUACGAAACGAACAAAAAUCUCCUAGAUCAUGGGUUCUCAGGAAUAAAUAGAACAAAAACUUGUCAAGCAAUUUUCCCUCAUAUAUAAUGUGACAAAUGUUAGGAGCUAUUUAAAACUCUGAAAUCAGUGGUUAUAGAACUACAAAGUAAAAUAUUUACUAUUAUUAUGCACUUGUGAUAGUAAUCGCUCCUUCACAUUAUAUUUCAUUGAUAUUGUGCAAUACACAACAGAACAUUUCAUAAAGGACUUUUACCAGUAACCCUCAAGCAUGGUAUUUAUCAUUAACUUUGUGGCUAAUUUUACAAGCUGCUUGUGAUUUGUGUUAUAAAUACUAUUUUUGUCAUACGUAGUACUACUUUAAAUUUCUUCUUCCAUUUUGGUCUCUUCUUUGCCUUUAGCAACAAAAUUUAUUGGUAUUACACUAGAAAGCAUCAUUUUUGCCUAUCCUUGGAAAGCUGAUUGGUUUGCUUUGGAAGUUAUUUGUGGAGGAAACUGCUAGCAGUGUCCAUUCUCCCAUUCCUCCUUCGUAUUAGAACCUCCAAUACUAGAUGGGCACGAUGCUGCUCAGGUGGAGGACUACCUGCCCACCUCCCUUGCAGCUUGGAUGCUCAGGUAACUAAGUUCUGGUCAGUGAUAUACAUAAAUGUGUUUUUGUAGGACUUCUGGGAACUUUCCUUGAAAGGGAAUGGGUACGCCUAUCCUUACUUCUUGCUGGCUAGAGUAGAUUGUGAUGUGUGGAACACCAGCAGCCAUCUUUGACCAGGAAGUAUUUGUGAGAACAAAAGCCACACAUUGAGAUGGUAGAAUAAAGAGAAAAGAGCCCAGGGCUCUGAUGACACCAUGGGCCCACUAUUCCAACCCUAGACUGCCUGUCCCCAGACUUCUUUGAGAAGGAGGAAUUAAUCUCCCUCUGUUCAAGCCACUGUUAUUUUGGGGUUAAUUUCUUGGAUGCAGCUGAAAUUAUUCCUAGUGAAUAUAUUGUUAUGCUUCGUUUUAAAAAGAUGCAAAUCUGCAAUGUCUUCAUGCCUCUAUUUGGCAAUGUUAUUUUUUUCCAAUUAUUUUAUUGAGGUUAUAUUGGUUUAUAACAUUGUAUAAUUUCAGUUGUACAUUAUUAUAUAUCAGUUUCUGUAUAGACUGAAUUGUGCUCACCACCAAUAGUUUAAUUUUUAUCCAUCAUCAUACAUAUGUGCCCCUUUACCCCUUUCACCCUCCCCCAACCCCUUUCCCCUCUGGUAACCAUUAAUCUGUUCUCUUUAUCCAUCUGUUUGUUUAUCUUCCACACAUGAGUAAAAUCAUAUGGUAUAUGUCUUUGUCUGGAUUAUUUCACUUAGCAUAAUACCCUCAAGGUCCAUCCAUGUUGCUGCAAAUGGGGUGAUUUUGUCUUUUUUAUAGCUGAGUAGUAUUCCAUUGUAUAUAUAGAUCACAUCUCCUUUAUCCAUUCAUCAGUUGAUGGGCACUUGGGUUGCUCCCACGUCUUGGCUAUUGUGAAUAAUGCUGCAGUGAACAUAGGGGUGCAUAAAUCUCUUUGAAUUAUUGAUUUCAUGUUCUUUGGAUAAAUACCAAAAGUAGUGGGAUAGCUGGGUCAUAUGGUAGUUUUCUAUUUUUAAUUUUUUGAGAAAUCUUCACAUUGUUUUCCAUAGUGACUGCACCAGUUUGUAUUUCCACCAGCAGUGUAUGAGGCUUCCCUUUUCUGUAUAUCCUCUCCAACAUUUUUAUUUUUUGUCUUGGUAAUUAUAGCUAUUCUGACAGGUGUGAGGCAAUCUCUCAUUGUAGUUUUGAUUUGCAAUUUCCCAAUAAUUAGUGAUGAACAUCUUUUCAUGUGCCUAUUGGCCAUCUGCAUAUUUUCUUUGGAAAAAUGUCUGUUCAUAUUGUCUUCCCAUCUUUUGAUUGGGUUGUUUGUUUUUUUGUUGUUGAGUUGUAUGUGUUUUUUAUAUAUUUUGGAAAUUAACCCCUUGUCAGAUACACAUGGUACUGGCAUAAAGACAGACACACAGGUCAAUGGAACAGAAUCAAAAGCCCAGAAAUAAAACCACAAAUCUAUGGAUGGCUACUCUUCAGCAAAGGAGCCAAGAACAUACAAUGGAGAAAGGAAAGUCUCUUCACUAAGUGGUGUUGGGAAAACUGGACAGCAACAUGCAAAAGAAUGAAAGUAGACCAUUAUCUUACCUCAUACACAAAAAUUAUCUCAAAAUGGAUUAAAGACUUAAAUGUAAGACCUGAAACCAUAAAACUCCUAGAAGAAAAUAUAGGCAGUACAUUCUUUGACAUCGAUCUUAGCAGCAUCUUUUCGAAUACCACGUCUACUCAGGCAAGGGAAACAAAAGAAAACAUAAACAAAUGGGACUAUAUCAGACUAAAAAGCUUCUUCAAGGCAAAGGAAAUCAUGAACAAAAUGAAAAGACAACCCACCAAUUGGGAGAAAACAUUGACAACAUUUUUCAAUGGAUAAUACACCAAGUAUUAGGGAAAAUUAAGUUGUCAAUCCAGUAACACUCAAAUUUCAGACAUUUGUUGUUUUGCUUUCUAAUAAUACCUUUUAUCUUGUGCAAAAUCAUUGUUCCCGUGGGUUUUCCUGUCCUAGUUAAGGAAGUUCACAGUGUAUGUUGAUUAUAUUCACAUUCUCUAUUGAGAAGGUCUGUUCAUAUAUUCUGAGUUAUAGUAUUGAUAUGACUAUUGUUAUCAUUGUAUUUAUACUCUGAUAAAUACUUUUAAGCCUUUUAAUCCUCUUGUAUCAUUCAAGAUAUUAUGCAACAGCCAAAAUCAAAAAUAACAAACAUAAACAAUAACACUAAAUAAAAUGCAAUGGUAGAGAGAGGUUGGGGGAAAAUACUCAGUUUGCCAGAUUUUCCAUUCACAUGGUUUGUAAUGGCCUCAUGCCCAGUUUAGGUGUGAGGUGGACAGAGAGUGUGACAGCUGUAAAGUAGAAAGCUCCUGGUCUGAGAGCACGAAGGUAUGCACACGUAUAUAAUAUACAUAACACGUAUAUAAUAUAAGCUCACUUCUGUUAACUACUUCAGAUGACGACAAAGAAUGACAUUGAUUAAAAUGUUGAUCACAAAU